rnacentral:rRNA from 1 species
UACGAAGGGUGCAAACGUUGCUCGGAAUUAUUGGGCGUAAAGCGCACGUAGGCGGCUUGGCAAGUCGGAUGUGAAAUCCCUCGGCUCAACCAAGGAAGUGCAUCCGAAACUGCUGAGCUUGAGUUCUUAAGAGGAUCGCGGAAUUCCCGGUGUAGAGGUGAAAUUCGUAGAUAUCAGGAGGAACACCAGUGGCGAAGGCGGCUUUCUGGACGGUAACUGACGCUGAGACGCGAAAGCGUGGGGAGCAAACAGG